GGGGCUGUGGCUCAGUGGUAGAGCACUUGCCUAGCAUGUGUGAGGCACUGGGUUCGAAUCUCAGCACCA
rnacentral:tRNA from 1 species